AUUGAACGCUGGCGGCAUGCCUUACACAUGCAAGUCGAACGGUAACGCGGGGCAACCUGGCGACGAGUGGCGAACGGGUGAGUAAUGCAUCGGAACGUGCCCAGUAGUGGGGGAUAACUGCUCGAAAGAGCAGCUAAUACCGCAUACGACCUGAGGGUGAAAACGGGGGAUCGCAAGACCUCGCGCUAUUGGAGCGGCCGAUGUCAGAUUAGGUAGUUGGUGGGGUAAAGGCCCACCAAGCCAAAGAUCUGUAGCUGGUCUGAGAGGACGACCAGCCACACUGGGACUGAGACACGGCCCAGACUCCUACGGGAGGCAGCAGUGGGGAAUUUUGGACAAUGGACGCAAGUCUGAUCCAGCCAUGCCGCGUGCGGGAAGAAGGCCUUCGGGUUGUAAACCGCUUUUGUCAGGGAAGAAACGCUCUGGGUUAAUACCUCGGGGUAAUGACGGUACCUGAAGAAUAAGCACCGGCUAACUACGUGCCAGCCGCCGCCGUAAUAC
rnacentral:rRNA from 1 species